AUCCGAACUUCAUUCUUUCCAUUAUUUCGUCAUAAGUCCUACACAAAAAAUUCGCAGUGCAACUCAGUGGGGUUGCACAACAAUAUAUACACUGGCAGACAUUUAUAACAAAUUUGAUACUGAAACCAAAAAAUGAAUUACGAGAUCUUUAUGUAUUAGAAUUAAUCGACAUUGUGGCGAAGGGAGGUAAGAUUUUUAUUGAAUGUUUGACACUUUAUAUGAAAGGGAGCUGUGAUAAAAAAAACUUAAUAAUUUGGUACCAUUGUACAACAUUACACAAUCAACAAGAAAUUAUUAUAAUCAAAGGCUGUUAUUCCUUUUUUUUGUUUACAGGUGAUAAUAAUGUUCCUGCUCAGUUGUAUCUCCUGAACCAAUUUGUGCCCCCUACAGGAAAAUCUAGAGUGGGUAAAAGUACUUGGGAGUUCUCUACCUUGGAAAGCACGCAUGGAAUAUUUCUACAUGUGAAGCAUGCGGAAGAUGUCGACUCUGAAAUGAAGAAAAAGGCAGAUGCAGCAUAGCAAAAGGGGCGAACGGUACAGCCUUAUUUUAUUUUCAUUGGACCAACUGUGCAAUUUUGCACUAAUUUUAAUCUAGUAUUCAUUAUUAGAGUUUGUUAUUUUGAAUACAAAUAGAAAUGUCACAACGUACCAUUAAAAAUUUCAAUACAGUUCAUUUAAUUCAACAAAUUUGAUAUUAUUCUCCUUAAUUGGAGUGGUCCUUCGAGACACAACAAACAAUACAUAAUUUUGGCCAUAUUCGAGCCGGAUCUAGUGCGACACCAGCAAGAUCAUCAAUCAGUACCUAUCAUCAUUCGCAAGUGGAUACAGUUUGGAAUUCGUAAGAAAUAUUGCAGCAGUAACGCAUGGAAAAUCAAUUUGCAUGCCGUGGAUAGAAGGUGACAUUAACAAUCUAAGAAUCGACAGUGAGUUUCCAGUUGUGAUCUGCUUCAAUUGGAUUCCGGUAAACGAGACAUAUCUCGAUUUAUUAUUUAUUAUUUACGCAGAACAAUUUCAUUUGAAUAUAUUCAUGAUGGAGCCAGGAAAAGAAAUAACAUCAUUACGACAUUCACGGGCUAUUAUAAAGGCAUCAUUAACACGAUUUGUUACCUUUCUCAAUAAACCAGAGAACAGGAAAGAUAUCACGCAGUUACAGUUACGAUUGAAUAAAAUUCAAUCCGA